rnacentral:rRNA from 1 species
GAUGAACGCUGGCGGCGUGCCUAACACAUGCAAGUCGAGCGAUUCUCUUCGGAGAAGAGCGGCGGACGGGUGAGUAACGCGUGGGUAACCUACCCUGUACACACGGAUAACAUACCGAAAGGUAUGCUAAUACGAGAUAACAUACUUUUAUCGCAUGGUAGAAGUAUCAAAGCUCCGGCGGUACAGGAUGGACCCGCGUCUGAUUAGCUAGUUGGUGAGGUAACGGCUCACCAAGGCGACGAUCAGUAGCCGACCUGAGAGGGUGAUCGGCCACAUUGGAACUGAGACACGGUCCAAACACCUACGGGUGGCAG